UUCCCUCUAAAAUACUCAACCCUUGUUUCUUGCAUAAUGGCCCAUCUUGAUUCUAGUUUCUUAUUAUCUCUUACCUUCUCAGCGAACAACUGAAAUGCAUCUUUCUUGGUAACUGGCUUCUUAGAGGAGGGAUCUGAUAGAUCUCUGCCGUUGACGGUCUGCGGAGAUCGGCGGACCCGCUUCUUCUCCGUCGCCGAUUUCGUCAUUCCCCCUUUCGUCG
rnacentral:misc_RNA from 1 species